AGUGAACGCUGGCGGUAGGCCUAACACAUGCAAGUCGAACGGCAGCACAGUAAGAGCUUGCUCUUACGGGUGGCGAGUGGCGGACGGGUGAGGAAUACAUCGGAAUCUACUUUUUCGUGGGGGAUAACGUAGGGAAACUUACGCUAAUACCGCAUACGACCUACGGGUGAAAGCAGGGGAUCUUCGGACCUUGCGCGAUUGAAUGAGCCGAUGUCGGAUUAGCUAGUUGGCGGGGUAAAGGCCCACCAAGGCAACGAUCCGUAGCUGGUCUGAGAGGAUGAUCAGCCACACUGGAACUGAGACACGGUCCAGACUCCUACGGGAGGCAGCAGUGGGGAAUAUUGGACAAUGGGCGCAAGCCUGAUCCAGCCAUACCGCGUGAGUGAAGAAGGCCUUCGGGUUGUAAAGCCCUUUUGUUGGGAAAGAAAAGCAGCAGGUUAAUACCCCGCUGUUCUGACGGUACCCAAAGAAUAAGCACCGGCUAACUUCGUG
rnacentral:rRNA from 1 species